rnacentral:rRNA from 1 species
GUGACUGCGUACCUUUUGUAUAAUGGGUCAGCGACUUAUAUUCUGUAGCAAGGUUAACCGAAUAGGGGAGCCGGAGGGAAACCGAGUCUUAAUUGGGCGUUAAGUUGCAGGGUAUAGACCCGAAACCCGGUGAUCUAGCCAUGGGCAGGUUGAAGGUUGGGUAACACUAACUGGAGGACCGAACCGACUAAUGUUGAAAAAUUAGCGGAUGACCUGUGGCUGGGGGUGAAAGGCCAAUCAAACCGGGAGAUAGCUGGUUCUCCCCGAAAGCUAUUUAGGUAGCGCCUCGUGAAUUCAUCUCCGGGGGUAGAGCACUGUUUCGGCUAGGGGGCCAUCCCGGCUUACCAACCCGAUGCAAACUGCGAAUACCGGAGAAUGUUAUCACGGGAGACACACGGCGGGUGCUAACGUCCGUCGUGAAGAGGGAAACAACCCAGACCGCCAGCUAAGGUCCCAAAGUCAUGGUUAAGUGGGAAACGAUGUGGGAAGGCCCAGACAGCCAGGAUGUUGGCUUAGAAGCAGCCAUCAUU